UUGUCCCAGUAAAAGGCCCAGUUUUCCCCAGUAAGAAGUAAAAGGCAUUAGCACUAGAAAAGGCCUGAUAAUUAACUGCUACAAUAAACUCACGACUUGAUUUUACAGGGUCCUGUCAAAAGCAUCUGCCUGGAGUAAAUCAACACAGCUCUCUUUUGGGGGAGUGGAGACACGAAGCUUUCUGCUCUCUUCCUCAGAGAAAGUGAACAUUGAUCGGUGGUCCAUUUUAAUUUAAACAAUUCUACCCUGGAGCCCAGGAGCCCCCUCCAGCCCUGGCAGACCUAGUGGCUUCAGAACAGGUUGCCGAGAAUGUUAGGUGAUGGGAUGUAGGUUGCCAUCUGCUCCCAGGCAGAAAGGAUUUUUACAGAUGUUGACAUCUGUAAUAGCUCAUGCUCUCUGGGGAGCCUUAAGGAAUUCUGGACCUUCGAGGGGGCCCAACGUCUCGUGGAGGAUGCCUGGAAGAACCAUUACUGGAGGCAAAGGUAUCGCUGGCUUUUCCUGGGGAUUCUUAAAAAGCACCAGACUUCUAACGCAAGUCUUCCAGGGCCGAGAGCAACUCCUUUUGGAUUUCAUGGAAAACUCUGUGUUCUCCAGGCCCGCUCCCAUUUCCCUGUUCGCAGGUUUGCAUUCGCAGUGACAGUUUAUUUGUCUUUGGAGGCUCUUCAGUGACAAAUGUUUAAGGGAGUGUGGGACAAUGGUGGUGAACAAGGAGGCAGUUCAUUGAGCUGACAGUGACCAUACAGUAAAUGGAAGGAGGUUCAGGCUUCACUGCCCACCCAAGCACACGGCGAUGCUUUUGUGCAUGACCACAAUGGACAUAACAUAAGGUCUCUCUUUAUUUGCAACAAUAUCUAGCAAUGUACACGGGCGAUACGCAGACGUCAAGUGGAAAAAUGGCUGGAGGGAACUCAAUUCUUGCACCAAGUAGCAGCACAUCCCUAAGCCAUGGGCAGGGCUCUGGCAACUGUCCACAAGUAAGGAAGCGGCUCCUGGUGCCAACAGCCACCAACUUAAGGGCCACCACGCUCUGGCACUGCUGGGAUGCAAUGCAGCUCUCCAGUGAGGUCCACGUGGGUAAAGGUGACUCAGAGCCAGCAGACUCUCUCCGUUGAUGCCUCCAGAGAAACCAUAUGGAGUGGGGGGUCCCUUCCUCACCACUCCCAGUCUUUGCACCCCAACUCCAUCCCUGCAAUGCUGUGUGGAAUAGGAUGAAAAAGAGGGGAAAUGCCAUGAGAACUUUCAGAGACCAUCAAACUCUACCCUGAAAAUCCUUCUCUUUUAAACGUUGUCUUCGCAUGAUGAGCUCACUGGUUUCAACUGUGGAAGUUCUCAGACAUAACCUCAUAUACCCCUUUUUGAGCCCGGAAAAGAGAAAAGCAUACACCAUUGGGUUUUGACCUCUUAUACCAAGGACCUUCAGAAAGAUCAGUGGACCCGAUUUCUCCCAGUUCCCCAAAGAAAGGUUGUUGGAAGCACCUUAUUGCAACGCCUGUGGCCCAAGAGCCAUCCUGGGAGGCUUGGGUUUCCAGUGGGUCUUGCAGCUUCGUGAGUUAAGUCAAGUCGGAGGUUACAGUAUUCUGUUUGAGGGAUUGCUUCUGCUGGACAGUUGCAAAGCUUCACCCUUGACUAUCUGAAUGACAUAAGUAAUGUGCUAUUAGCAUAAAUACCUUCUAAGGCAUCCAUUUAAUCAAUUUCUUAAAUAACAGAAUGAUCUACUACAAAAUAGUGGACUGUAUACACUAUAUUUUGGCACAAAGAUGGUCAUUCUCCCACUAGUAACCAGGGGCUCUAAAUAAAUGAUUUCAACAAUGUUUUAUUAAAGGACGACAAGAGCCCUCGAGCUGCAUUAAUCGGGGAGAAGUCGAGUGGCACUUUUGUUAUGGAAAUGUUAAGCACAUAAUAGCACAGCCAAACAAUGUGCAGCCACUUCAUUCUUUCAGCCAUGCUGACACCUCUUAAAGAGGAACUGCAGGGAAGGAUGUGGGAAAGAUUUGCUUUCCGAGGAAGCUUUCAGCUCAUAUUUUGGACAGCUACCUCCAAACCCUGUGUAAUAUGCAUGCAGUGGAAGCAAGACAGGCUGCUAUGAGACCGAAAGUAUUUCCUUACCUGAUUUCAGGAGCUUGGCUUCCCAAAGAAAAGCGAAUGUGUACAUUUUUUGACAGGGCAUAUGUCAAAAGUAUAUUUUAGUGAUUUUGCCACACGGUGAGUCCAGUCUUAUAAAGUGGAUCAAAGACGGUCUCUCUCAAUGGUGUUGAUAUACACUGGAUGUGGCUUUGCUGAGUUCCCCAUCAGCAAACUGGGUGAGUCUGCAAAAAGGUGCAAAGACAUAUAUCAUCAAGGGCAUCUUCAAUCUGCAACAAAAAAUAAAGUCGUCUUAUCUGUUUUCAGACUUUAUGGACACCUCUGUGGCCUCUGGUUAUCACUAUGUUUUGUUCAUUUUGACAUUUAAAUAUCAGAUAUCAGUGGGUCCUUGGAUGCCAGAAUGAAGUAGUAUCUCACAACUAAAUCCUAUUGUAGUUUUUUGUUAUCGAUCGGAUAAGCACCAUAAUAAGGAACAUUUCAAUGAGAUCUGAGGCUUUUUUCAUAGACAUCUCUUUUAUAGAGGCACCAGUCAUCUAAUCUUUCAUUUUAAGCCCUGUCACCUCUUACCUGUCAGGUAGGUACACCUGUUUGGAGCAUCCUUCUAUAGGGAAUGUUGAAGUAAGCUCUUAUGAUCAUUAAGAUCUACAUCUGUAAUCCUGAACUAGUGAGCAGAGGGGAUGGGGAACAAAAAGAGUUUGCUUUGGUUCCUCCGGCAUCUGCUGAGGGCUGCUAUGGGCUGAGGUACCAGUGUGUAUAUAACAGAGUCUCAUCAAUGGACAAGCUGGUAGUCAGGAUGGAGAGACAGGCAUACACGUCCUUAUGACAUCAAAUGGCAAGUGCAGAGGACCAGCUUGAUGCCGGGUGUAAGGAAAGCUUGGAGAAGGCUCACUGAAGUUGAGUCUGAAGACAGGCAUAGGCUUUCACGAGGAAAAGCGAGGAUGAGGAAGACAUUCCCGUGAGAAGAAACCACAUCUCCUAAGGCAUGGAGGGAUCAAACAGCCCAGCAUGGGUGUGUGUGUGUGUGUGUUCAUUUGUCACCACCAAAACAUAAAGUGGGAAGUAGCAAGGAUGGGGCUUGAAAGAAGGGUUAAUACCAGGUCAUAAGUGCCUUGAAUGUCAUUCUGGGCAUUGACUUUACCCUGUGUACCCAGCCCAGGGCUCAUGAUGGGAAACCUUCUGAAAAUUCCCAGUUGAGGGUUCCAAAGAUUCAUCUUCUUGAACGGAGUGCAUGAUGGUUUUAAGGCGUGAAGACCAGAGACUAGCACAACAGUGAGUGCCAGGUCC
rnacentral:lncRNA from 1 species